UGCGUAGGCGGUUCGUUAAGUAGGGUGUGAAAGCCCCUGGCUCAACCAGGGAAUUGCACUCUAUACUGGCGGGCUAGAGUGAGAUAGGGGUGUCCGGAACUGCCGGUGGAGCGGUGAAAUGUGUUGAUAUCGGCAGGAACGCCGGUGGCGAAAGCGGGACACUGGGUCUCAACUGACGCUGAGGCACGAAAGCCAGGGGAGCGAACG
rnacentral:rRNA from 1 species